AUUGAACGCUGGCGGCAGGCCUAACACAUGCAAGUCGAACGAGUGGCGGACGGGUGAGUAAUGUCUGGGCAACUGCCUGAUGGAGGGGGAUAAAUACUGGAAACGGUAGCUAAUAACGCAUACCAUCCGAUGUACCCAGAUGGGAUGAGGUGGUUGGUGGGGUAACGUCUCACCAAGGCGACGAUCCCUAGCUGGUCUGAGAGGAUGACCAGCCACACUGGAACUGAGACACGGGCCAGACUCCUACGGGAGGCAGCAGUGGGGAAUAUUGCACAAUGGGCGCAAGCCUGAUGCAGCCAUGCCGCGUGUAUGAAGAAGGCCUUCGGGUUGUAAAGUACUUUCAGCGGGGAGGCGUUACCCGCAGAAGAAGCACCGGCUAACUCCGGGCCAGCAGCCGCGGUAAUUC
rnacentral:rRNA from 1 species